rnacentral:rRNA from 1 species
ACCCCAGACUCCUACGGGAGGCAGCAGUGGGGGAUAUUGCACAAUGGGGGAAACCCUGAUGCAGCGACGCCGCGUGAAGGAAGAUGUAUCUCGGUAUGUAAACUUCUAUCAGCAGGGAAGAAAAUGACGGUACCUGACCAAGAAGCCCCGGCUAACUACGUGCCAGCAGCCGCGGUAAUACGUAGGGGGCAAGCGUUAUCCGGAUUCACUGGGUGUAAAGGGAGCGUAGACGGCGACGCAAGUCUGGAGUGAAAGCCCGGGGCCCAACCCCGGGACUGCUCUGGAAACUGCGUCGCUGGAGUACGGGAGGGGCAGGCGGAAUUCCUGGUGUAGCGGUGAAAUGCGUAGAUAUCAGGAGGAACACCGGCGGCGAAGGCGGCCUGCUGGACCGUGACUGACGUUGAGGCUCGAGAGCGUGGGGAGCAAACAGGAUUAGAUACCCUUGUA